GACCAAGAAGGCUAAGUUGUAUUAAUAAACGGUAAAAAGACAGUUAGAUAAUUUAAGAAGCUUACUUAAUAUUUGUUAAAAGGUAGAAUUUGAAUAUAAAUACAUAGUUUAAUUAUAGCUUUCGUAUUGAAGCUGUGAUAGCCUUGAGGGAAACUGGGAUUAGAUACCCCAUUAUUCUUGGUUGUAAAUAAAUAAGAUGUUUACCAGAGUACUAUGAAUUACAAAAAUUUAAAACUCAAAGGGCUUGGCGGUGUUUUAGACCUUUCAGGGGAACCUGUCUCAUAAUCGACAAUCCACGUUAGACCUGACCUUUUUUGUUAUGAGUUUGUAUACCGUCGUCGUCAGGUAACUUUUUAAAAACUAGAAGUUAGCAAGAAAACUGUGUUAGUUUUUACGUCAGAUCAAGGUGCAGCUGAUAAAAAGGUGAGGAUGGGUUACAAUUAUAAAAUUAUAAUACGAAGUAAUUACUUGAAAUACUAUUAUAAAGGAGGACUUGAAAGUAAAUUAAAAUACAUAAAUAUUUUGAAUAAGGCUCUGGAACGUGU
rnacentral:rRNA from 1 species